rnacentral:lncRNA from 1 species
GACAAAACAACAUCACCCGACUUAUUUAUGUCUAAAAUUAUAAAUUUUUACUCUUUUUAUGGAUAUUUUUGCAAAAAAAGAGGUUGGACCCGAUCAGGUUGCCUACGUAUCUCACACCGUGUGAGAAUCAAACUGGUGUAGUUUGCCAAAGAAAAUAAACUGAAUUUGAAAACAAGGCUCCUUUCUUUUUCUUUUUCUUUUUCCUUUCAAAUAAACCAAACUAAAAAACAAUUCUUUUUUUAUUUUUUUUUCAAAAUUUCGGUAGAGUUUCGACACUAUUUGGGCAUUGAUAUUUUUCUAAAAAUAAGUAGUUUCCCUCUACAGAGUUAUUUUUUAUAUUUUUCUCUUUUUUCCCUCAAAUUUCCCAUAUUUCCGAUUUUCAGAAGCCGGUCAACAUGCAAGUCUGAAGCAAACAAAUGCGUAAAACAAACAAGAUGCAGCAGGAAGGUCUUUUUUCGUUUCAGGUCGCUUGUCCUAAACGGACUCAACCCUUGUGUUGAGUCCCCUAAGUCAAAUGCAACAUGAUACAAAUAAGCGUUCCUACUAGGGAUCCAGCAUGAGAUUUUUGUUAUACAAGGUUUAAAACCUAGGUGUAUGUUCUAGACCUGAGUUACCCGAGCGGACAACUCGAGUCGAGGAGGGGGCAACUUUCGGGGAACCAAAAGGCGAUCCGGCUAAGUAACUUGUCCGAGCCUCUUUUUAUUUUGGGAUACGACACUAACAGAAAGAAGUCACGACUAGCGUGCACUCCUCUGAGGUAAGAAGAGAAGGUUUCAGCACAGUUUAUAUAUACAAUUCAAAUAAUAUUAAAGCGGUAAAAAGCAUCAUUUUGCACAUUUAAACUCAAUCAUAUAUUAACAAUCAGAUAAUAAAUAAAGCCAAAUACAACAAUUAUUCCAAGCUCGAAUUUCUAACCCUGAACUAGUGGAUCUGGGUUAUCAUCCCCAGCGGAGUCGCCAAAGCUGUCACACCUCCUUUUUACCCGCGCCCGUAGGGGCAUAAAGCAAUUUUUCCAAUUAAAGGACAAUCGGAACGGGACUAGUAUUAAAGAUUUAGAGUCGCCACUUGGAAGAUUUAUGGUGUCCGAGUCACCGAUUUAAUCUCAAAUCUAGGAAAAGAGUGACUCUGUUUAACAGUCCGCGAACCAGAAAUUCGGAUAAGGAAUGUUGUUAACUCGGGAGAAGGUAUUAGGCAUUCCCAAGUUCCGUGGUUCUAGCACGGCCGCUCAACUGUCAUAUUCGGCUUAUUUAUCUAAUUUUAUACAGUUAUGAACUUAUGUGUAAAUUUUAACUUUUAGCCGCUUUUAUUAUAAUUUUUUAAAAGACUUGCAACGUCGUGAAAACGUGUAUCGAACCACGUCACAUCAAUGCAUCUGUGGUUAUUGACACAUUUUGACUCUGUUUGGAUUUGGUUCACAUAAAUGUGCACCCGAGCUUAGGGAGAUAACAUUAUUAAAUACGCGCCUAAAGACACCUAAAGCGUUAUUAUUUUGGGAAGGCCGUAAUAUUCGCUAAACGGCAUGUCCCAAAAUCUAAGCAUUUAAAAUAACCAUCUAUUGAGGGCCCCGCAAUUUGCGUUUUAUUUGGCGAGACUCGUCUUAUGUAUUAUUUAAAAGAGAAUUGCAACGUCGUGAAAAAUACAUCUCAAACCACGUCACAUCAAUGUACCUGUGGUUAUCGGCACAUUUCGACUCCGUUGAAAUUUGGAUUUGGGUCACAUAAAUGUGCACCCGAGUUUAGGAAAGUAAAUUAUUAAAAGCACGCCUAAGGUGACUAGCGUAUUAUUAUUUUGAGGAAGGCCGUGAAAUUUGCUAAAACGGCCAUACCGAAUUCUAAGUAUAUAUUAUAACCAUCUAUUGAAGGCCCCACAAUUGACGUUUUAUUUGGCGAGGCUCGUCUCAUUUAUUAUUUAAAGGACAAACCUAAAAGCAAUUAUGAUUUUCUGUUUUACUUGUCUCUAAAAAAAUCCUAAUUUACUCACUGAGAUUAUCGAGAGUCGUUAUAAUCGGGUUACAUGAAAUACACCCCCGAAUUUUGAGAAUUACAAAUCAUAACUACAUCAUGAAAAUCGUACCCGUAAAUAUGAUAAUUUAUUUAACGCGCCAAAAUAUGCUCCUAAUGAUUAGAUUAGAAUAAUAAGAGCAAGAUAACCUCAUAAAGUUUAAUUGGCUUGAACAACCAGCAGCCAAGGUCCAAAAUUCUUCUAAAUGAAGAUCAAUCCACACGGUCCGUUUCAAGUAAUUUUAGUUAAUCGCCAUCAAAGUUCUGCUUGCAAACAUUUUUUAUCGUCUAAUUUCUAUGUGUGAUGGUAAGUAACCCCCAUUUUCAACUGAGAUGUUGUGAGUUCGAGUCUCCCCAAGAGCAAAGGUGGGAAGUUCUUGGAGGAAAGGAUGUCUAGGGUCUAUUUGGAAACAGCCUCUCUACCCCAGGGUAGGGGUAAGGUCUGCAUACAUGCUACCCUCCUCAGACCUCACUAAGUGGGAUUAUACUGGGUUGUACUUUUAGACAAGAGGGGUUGCUUAUUCCAACCGAGAAGUUGUGAGUUCGAGUCUCCCCAAGAGCAAGGUAAGAAGUUCUUGGAGGGAAGAAUGUCGGGGGUCUAUUUGGAAACAGCCUCUCUACCCCAAGGGAGAGGUAAGGUCUGCGUACAUACUACCCUCCCCAUAAAGUAGUUGUUGUUGUAAUUUCUACGUGUGAUUAGCAUAUACAAACUAUAGACAGCAGCAUCAUAAGAAAUAGACACAUAUAAUGAAGUAGAUCACACUCAAAGACAAACAAAAAGCUCAUUCGAAACCAACAGAAAUGCACAUUCAAUAUCAGUCAUGGAACAAAGAAACAAGUCAUAUACAUACCUACAACUGGACGUAAACAACAUAAACAGCACAACAAAACAUACCCGGGAACUUUAUCGACCCUCGACGGAACUACGAACGGACCUCGACGGAUUGAAUCUGAAAACCUCUCACGUUCAUAUCACCAUUUCUGUUGUGCGCGUGUACUGCUGUUUCCGUCGCGUUCUUGGGCAGCAAAGAUGAAAGGGAUCGUUUGGACGUGAAGUAGACGAGAAGGGCUGUUUGGUUGCAGCUGAUUGUUGGUCGUGGGCGAGGUGGUUUCGUUGGGGUGGUCGACUAGUGACGUGUUUGGUGGACGAAGACGCAGCUUGGGGUCGUUUGGUUGGUUCAGCUGGUGGUCGACUAUGGUUGACGUCGAAGGUGGUCUGUUCGACGGGCAGCAGUGACGCAGCAGAAGCAGAAACGACCUGGGGGCUGUUUGGUCGUGUGCUAGGCUGACGAUGGAGGACGAAGCAGCUGGAGGUUUGGGCGCGAAGAAGGAGAAGCCAUGGCUAGGGUUUAUGUUUGGUUUGUGUCUAUGAAGAAGAAGGCCCCAAGGUCUCAAAUGUCUUCUGUCGUGUUAUCUCCGUGUCC